AAGUCGUGACAAGGUUUCCGUAGGUGAACCUGCGGAAGGAUCAUUAACACAUAUCCAACGUUAAACACCCGUGCACCUUCAUCUUACAGCACUGAAACGAUUCUUUGCGGCAUGUUAAGUCGUGACCCACCGGGAUCUAGGGAGUUUACCCAGGGAGAACCUCGCGAAAUGGGACCACAACUGGGGCGAUGCAAACGUGGUCUCCAGGGCGUCUUGUUUGUACCUUUUGUCCUCGACACGUACAGCUUGCCGCGAAGAAUUUUCGCUUGCGAAUCCACCAUACCCACCGCAGGAAAACUAUGUCCUCCGGGGCUUCCAGCUGGUAACCCGACUAACUGGGAACAAUC
rnacentral:misc_RNA from 1 species